GGUCAAGCAAUAAGGGCACAGGGCGGAUGCCUUGGCACUAAGAGCCGAUGAAAGACGUGAUAAGCUGCGAAAAGCUUCGGGGAGGAGCAAAUAUCCCGUGAUCCGGAGAUUUCUGAAUGGGGAAACCCGCAUGAGAAGACCUCAUGCAUCCAUACGCCAAUCCAUAACGUAUGGAAGGGAACCCGGGGAAC
rnacentral:rRNA from 1 species